AGUAAAGUGGCAGACAAUUGCCUUAGGUUUAAGCCCUAAUCAUGGGAAACACUCCCCUUUACUA
rnacentral:tRNA from 1 species